GAUUCUGGCUCAGAACGAACGCUGGCGGCGUGCUUAACACAUGCAAGUCGAACGCGAAAGGGACUUCGGUCCUGAGUAAAGUGGCGCACGGGUGAGUAACGCGUGGGUAACCUGCCUCAUACAGGGGGAUAACAGUUAGAAAUGACUGCUAACACCGCAUGAUAUAGCGAAACCGCAUGAUUUUUGCUAUCAAAUAUUUAUAGGUAUGAGAUGGGCCCGCGUCUGAUUAGCUAGUUGGUGGGGUAAAAGCCUACCAAGGCGACGAUCAGUAGCCGGCUUGAGAGAGUGACCGGCCACAUUGGGACUGAGACACGGCCCAAACUCCUACGGGAGGCAGCAGUGGGGAAUAUUGGACAAUGGGGGAAACCCUGAUCCAGCCGACGCCGCGUGAGUGAAGAAGUAUUUCGGUAUGUAAAGCUCUAUCAGCAGGGAAGAUAAUGACAGUACCUGACUAAGAAGCCCCGGCUAACUACGUGCCAGCCGCCGC
rnacentral:rRNA from 1 species